UUAAUUGAAGCCAAAAAGAGGCUUAUCACUGUUAAUGAUAGAACUGGUUUUUAAACCCAAUUAAG
rnacentral:tRNA from 1 species